UCCCUCUCACGCCGCCGUUGCCGCCGCCUCCCCCUCGCGCCGCCGCGUCCGCCGCCGCGUUCACCUCCGCCGCGGCGGCCGCAUCCAGCUCCCCCGCCGCGGCGGCCGCCUCCUUCUCGCUCCGGCGCGGCCGCGCUCGCUGCUCUCUCUCCCUCCCAUCUCGCCCUUGUUCCGCCGCGUCCACCACCGUUGCGGCGGCCGCGUUGGCCUCCGCCCCGGCGGCCCCGUCCAGCUCCGCCGCCGCCGCGUCCACCUCCUUCUCUCUCCUCGCUUGCGCUAGCUGCUCUCUCUCCCUCCCAUCUCGCCCUUGCUUGCUGCUGGAGCUCGAGGGGAACCCUAUCCUAGCCUAGCAGUGCGUGCGUGCGAGCGAGCGCCGCGGGGGCGUCCCGGGGGAGGGCGAGGGCGUGCGCCGCCGAUCCGAUCCGCUUCGCCGCCCUAAGUUCCGAGGCCGUUCGAGGUAGGUCUCCGUCCGACUUCUACCUCAGCGCCCUCUCCGCCGCAUCCAGGGACUCCGCCGCCGCCGCCAACCCCGCCUCCGAUCCCAGCCUCUUCGAAUCCGUGACGGCGGUGUGCGAGAUGUGGAGGUCAAGGGAGGCAGGGACGAGAUGGUGGCACGGACAUUCCCGGUGAUGAGCAGCAGGAUGGUAAAUGCAAGAAGCCAAAGGGAAGUAUAAGGUUGUACUAUUGGGCUUUUCAUGCAUCAAGAGGUUGUAUGGCGGAUCCUAUUUGAUCGAUUGUUCCCUUGCCUAACUCUGUCAAGGAUAACAAGAAUAAUAGCCUCAUUAAGAAGGAAGGAAGCAACAGUGGGAAGGGUGCAGCAACAUCUAAUGAUCUAGAAAGAGAAGGAAGGAGGACACUAGACCCUAAGACACUGAGGAGGCUUGCACAGAAUAGAGAGGCACCAAGGAAAAGUAGCCUUAGUAAGAAGGUGUGAAUUAUAUAUUAUGAUGGUCCUGGCUAUUUGAAACAUGAGUCUUAUCUUAUGAUGGUACUGGCUAUUUGAAACAUGGGUCUUAUGUAUUAUGCGGCUUACAUUCAACAGUUGAAGUCAAGUAGGAUUAGGCUAAGCCAGCUUGCACAGCAAGUUCACGUGGCAAGAGUACAGUCGCUCUAUGGAGGGGGGUCAUGUGAUUGCACCUCUUCGUCGACGGGACCGCCGAUUGCUAGAACGCCAUAGUGCUUCUCUUAGAUCGUGCUCUCCUGUUUCGGCUGGUGGUGAAUAUGCCUGGGAAACAGUUGCUACGCAGCGUAAAAAUGAUGGGUUUUUCCCUAUUUAUCCUGCUUGGUACUCUUCGAAGAGACGACAGAUACGAUCAAAAAAAUUGGCUCUCAAACGACUGGUGGCUGCAGGUCUUUAUGCUUGAUGCCUUUUGAUCUGUUCUGUGAUAUAUCUCCCACGAGUAAGAAUUGGAAGAUCUGUGCAACAAUAGCAAGGAAUGAAUCUUGUCAGGUUGGAACGAGGAUCAGACAAUAUUCCUCGAGAGAUUGCGAGUGUUGUGUCCCAAAAAUUCACUUUCUGCGUUUCUGUCACCGAAAGGAGCUUGAUGCAGAGGAACAUCGCGUUUCAAGUCAAUAGCAUUGAAACUUCUUUGGCAGACAAGGCACUAUUCCACAGGUUAGGGAUCAGACAUUGCAACUCACAUCAUCUGUCAUUUCACCUUUUGCUGGUGGUUCAAGUAUAUGUAGAGAAAGUGAGUGUCCUGAUCAUACUUCGACACCGCCUGCUUCUUCUAAUACCCCUGUGGGUGAUAUGGAGAAAGCCCAUGCUGAUAGCAGGAAACGACGCCCCAUUAUGCGCCUUCCUCUAGGUGCAUCGAAGAAGCUAACUUUUGAGGUGGGCGCGUCCGAAGGAAAGGAUAUAGAUACAGCUGUUGUUUCAGAAAGGGUGCAGAAUUAGCCUCCAUUGAUGGGAAAAAAAAGGGCACCGUCAAUCCUGCUGGUGCUCAGAGGACAAGAGCUUCCUAUAUGAAAUAGAAGCUACAAUUUCACGCCAUCGGUCUUCACUGGCAAUGGACGCGUUUGAAUCAAGUCCUUAGUUAUGUGCUCUGCUCUUGUUCUGUGAUUCUUGUUCACGCGAAGUGCAGGUCACUGACUUUACGGUAUUGGAGUUGGAGUAGAAGAUCAGCUGCUCCAUCAUCGACGAUGGCCUGAUCCACAAAGAUGAAUUUUGGUGCUGAUACUUCCAGGGAGAUACAGCCAUGAAUCCACCUAGGUUUUUCACGGUUAGACUAACCACAGCAAACCAGCGCUAUGUGCGCAGACCAGCUGCAAUCGCACAAGGAUAUCAGCUGGAGGAUGGCCAGAGACUCAAAUUAGUAACAACCCAUAACCUAAUGGUCUACAUUGAACUAAAGAGAGCAUCUGGCAAAAUAUACAUCACUACAGGAUGGCCCCAGUUCAUAGAAGCCACUGGUUUGCAGCUUAAAGAAUAUGUGGUUUUCAAAGUCUUAUCACGCUCCAAGAUGCAUGUCAUCAUAUAAGCCAAGAGUGGUUAUCUUAGAUGUCCAGUGCCAAGCAAACCAAGCAACUCACAGCUAAAGAAAAACGCGCUUCAGAAACCAAAACCACCAGAAAAAAAGAACCAAGACUAAGCCACACAUGCAACACCCCAUGCAACAGAAAUUAAAAGCCGAUAUAGGGUCAGCUUGUACAGGCAACACCAAACGCACUAUCAAUGAAAUGUGCUUCUGCACCGGGGAGGGACAUCAAUCUAUCAACUGAACUCAAAGACUACUUCAAAGAUAUUGCGCAAUUUCUGCACCCCUCAAACGAAUUCUAUGUCACAACCAUAAAUCCAACUUUCAUGAAGCAGGAUAAGGUGCACUUUUCAAAGCAAUUCUCUAUGACAUACAUUGCACUAAUCGUGCGGAAGAAGACAUCGCAGAUCGAAGUACGGAUUCCAGGGCACUCCUCAACCACCAUGGUUCUUCACCACUCCACAGAAAAGCGCUUUAACCUGAAAUCAGGAUGGACCCAUUUUCCAACAAGCAACGGCAUACAAGUUGGAACAAUCUGCAUCUUUCACUUCCACCAGACUAAUCAGCUGCAAGCAACAAUAGAUGUGCUGUGAGCAAGAUGCUCAUGCAACACAAGCUGUUAUCCUUUUAAUAUCGUAGGCUAUAUUUUCACUCUGCUACUUCUAUAGCUGUUAGUAUCAUUCUUUGUAUGCUUUGCAUGGGUACUCAAUUUCCAUGUAAAAAUCACGCCCAAACUAUUAUGCCAGCGUGCUGUUACAGAACAGGAGCUGACGGUACCUUACGUACUGUCUUUGGUUGUUUUGCUUGUACUUAUAUGCAACCAAAGACAAUUCACCCUGUCCUGUAUGAACAACCAUGCUAUCAUAUUCUGUUUCACCUUUAUCUUUA